GGGCUCAGUGGCAGAGCAUCUGCUUUGCAAUGAGAAGGUCCCAUGUUCAAUCCCUGGCA
rnacentral:tRNA from 1 species